AUCAUAUUAGGGAUCAGAAAUAGAUCUUUUGUGUUUGAGACACACAGGAGGCAACAUGUGCCUCCCUCCAAAUCUUGUUAUGAUGUCGGCACUUUAUCCAUCUGACG
ensembl:snoRNA